GUACAAAGGUAGCAUAAUAAGUUGUUUUUUAAUUAAAGACUGGAAUGAAAGAAUUGAUGAAAUUUAAACUUUCUAAAAUUUAAAAUUUAAAUUUUUUUAUUAAGUAAAAAGACUUAAAUUGAUUUAUGGGACGAGAAGACCCUAUAGAAUUUUAUAUAGUUUAUCUUAAAAUUUAAUUUAAACUAUAUUUAGUUGGGAGGACUAUUAAAAUUUAAAACUUUAAUAUAUUUAAAAUAUUACUUUGAUAAAAGGAAUUUAAAAAUUAAUAAUUUAUAAUUAAUUUAAAAUUAAUUACCUUAGGGAUAACAGCAUAAUAUUUUUUUUUAGAUCAUAUAUAAAAAAUUGUUUAUGACCUCGAUGUUGAAUUAAGAUAAAAUUUGAAAGGAGAUUUUUAAAUUUUUGGU
rnacentral:rRNA from 1 species